rnacentral:lncRNA from 14 species
GACGGGCCCGGACGACCUGGGGAGCUGCGAGAAAGCUUUUUGUUGCCAGGAGCCGCAGAGGAGCUGCCCGCGCUUUCCUAUGAGGUUUUCACCAUCACCGGCAAAACCAUGGAAGCUUUAAGAAAGUGACAGUAAUUUAUUUUUUAAAGUUUAAACGAGAGCAGCUGCCAAAGUGGGUGGUAGCAGUCCGGCACCGCCGCGGGGAGAAAGGGGCAGGCAGGCGGGAGUGAGAUGAGGUAGGGGAGGGCUGGUGGGCGGUGCGGGAGGAGGUGGGAGCUGGGCCGGGAGCUCAGCGACAGUCUGUUUGAGCGGGGAGAUCUGCAGCUUCACGCUGCUGGGGUGCCCUGCUUGUCCUCGACACACGGAACAGCACAGCACAACACAACAGGACACCUCGAGCCGCCACAGAGCGGGUGCGGCCCCGCAAGCAAGAAAACGGAAAAAUCAGUCAGUUCUGACUCUAUCUCCCCACCCAUCAAAACGAUUACUUGUCUCUUGGCCCAUCCCAGCUACCACUUCCGAGGUGUAUGUCACCUGGCAGUUUGGGAGUACCUGUUCCACAGAUGCUGAUGACCUGGGUGAUUUUCCCUCUGACAUAGAAGAGAUGCCAGAAAUGGAUAUUUAAACUGUCCUGAUGGUAUUUCUAAGCUCAUCUGAAGGAUGUUGAAGACCCUAUCUCACACAAAAAUCUUGAAAGGCUUCGGGGUCUGCUUUCCCAGUGAGAAGAUAACGCAUGACUAGCAUCCAGGAAGUGAGUGGUAAGUUAUAAUAAAAUACAAGUCAAUGCUGACGUGAGUAUAAAG